CACGGUAGGGCGCAAGCGUUGUCCGGAAUUAUUGGGCGUAAAGAGCUCGUAGGCGGUCUGUUACGUCUGCUGUGAAAACCCGGGGCUUAACCCUGGGCUUGCAGUGGAUACGGGCAGACUAGAGGCAGGUAGGGGAGAAUGGAAUUCCCGGUGUAGCGGUGAAAUGCGCAGAUAUCGGGAGGAACACCGGUGGCGAAGGCGGUUCUCUGGGCCUUACCUG
rnacentral:rRNA from 1 species